AUUGAACGCUGGCGGCAGGCCUAACACAUGCAAGUCGAGCGGCAGCGGAAGGAAGCUUGCUUCCUUGCCGGCGAGCGGCGGACGGGUGAGUAAGGUAUGGGGAUCUGGCCGAAGGCGAGGGAUAACCACUGGAAACGGUGGCUAAUACCGCAUAAUCUCUAAGGAGCAAAGUGGGGGACCGUUCAGGCCUCACACCUUCGGAUGAACCCAUAUGAGAUUAGCUAGUAGGUGGGGUAAGGGCUCACCUAGGCGACGAUCUCUAGCUGGUCUGAGAGGAUGAUCAGCCACACUGGGACUGAGACACGGCCCAGACUCCUACGGGAGGCAGCAGUGGGGAAUAUUGCACAAUGGGCGCAAGCCUGAUGCAGCCAUGCCGCGUGUAUGAAGAAGGCCUUCGGGUUGUAAAGUACUUUCAGUCGUGAGGAAGGUGUUAAGGUUAAUAACCUUAGCAAUUGACGUUAGCGACAGAAGAAGCACCGGCUAACUCCGUGCCAGCCGCCGCCGUAA
rnacentral:rRNA from 1 species